ACCCAGACAGUUUCUUCAUUUAUUUUCCCCCGCCUUGGGCAGGCUUCCACUCUUCAGACCCUUUCCUGCACAACUUUGUCCCUGAGCAUAGGUCCUGGACGUAAAAGAAGGGACAUCGUCUGGAGAAAUAUUGAAUUAAGAAAGGCGCGGCUGUGAAGAAUAGAAAUCAGUGUCUCCCUUAGUCUCUCAGUUCGGCGAUCUUGGUGUUUCUGAAUUUGAUCCCCGACGCCUGGGGCAUCGUGGAGGAACUUGCAUAGGAAAUCAAGGUGUCGCAGGAAAGAGAACACGCACAAGCAAAAGAUACCUUAAUUUGUAGUAUACUCAAUAUUUAUCGUACAGAAGUGUAUCGACGAUAGACAAUGUGCGAUGUGAUGGGUGCUGGGAACUUAACGAACUCUCCACGCGCCUAGACCUCAUUGGAUCCACUUUCUCUUGGGCUGUGAGCCGGUAAAAAAAAAAGGGGUGGAUGUGGAGGACGGUCCAAAGGAUUCGGAGCUCCUUAAAAUGCUACUCAAACUUUAUUUAGCGCGCUGGAGAAUCCCUGAGAAGGAGUAUUAUACCCAGUUUUCCGGGACUUACCUCCAGUGAUUCUACGUCGAUUCUUUGAUGAGGCCCAUUAAUUUUUAGCUGGGUGAUGCCGACCAGACUGUAAGUAGCACUGUAUUCGUGCAUUUUCUUUUAUCGCCCACUUUUUGCAACUAACACCAACAGAGAACUUCCACGGUAGAAGGUGAAAAAUUGAGCGUCUACCGGGAGUGGGACUCACAAUCUUAUGUUACUGGGCUUUAACCAACCGAGGUAAUUCCCUUCUACUUUCAAGAUUUUUAUUUUUGUUUUCGUGUUUAAUAAACGUGUAGAUUUCGUCGCA